GGCCGAGUGGCGGAAUUGGCAGACGCACGGGACUUAAAAUCCCGUGGGGGGUAACCCCCGUGCGGGUUCGAACCCCGCCUCGGCUAC
rnacentral:tRNA from 1 species